CUCAGGAUUUGCCGAGGAUUGCUCCGUGGCCUGUACAGGAUUGGUUUCCAUCAUAUGUCCCACGUGCGCUUGGGAAGAACGUAGAUUCCCGUCAGGGGCCGGGUUCUCUGCGGCUGCAUUUCUCGAGCCUGUUGGCUGAGCUGCUGAGAUCUACUGUAUGCUCACUGCGUGGCAUCUUUCAUCUGGCAAUUACUGAGAGUGGAAGGGGAGGAGCCUGAAAAAGGAACUUUGAUGUGACGUCCUUCUCACUCACAAGGAAAACACCGACACUGACAGUAAACAUAAAGAAGUGGCAACUCUACGGUGAUUUUCAGAUUGUUCUUACCAUUUUUAUCACGUUUGCUUUCCUUCAUCAAAACUUCUAUCUAGGA